GUGAGCGUGCCUCCGGUGAUUGCUAUCAGGUAGAAGCCCGACACUGCGAUGAUCCAGCGAUUGCUGGCGAUGGAGAAGAGUUCCUUGGCCAUUGCUAGCGCCAUUGCCGCCAGCGCUGUGAGUCCAUGCCACGACCGGACUUGCGUGGACGAUCUUUCCUGUUCGAUACAAAAACGUGACAAUUCCGAAGUUUCGUGGCUCCAAAUUUUCUAUGUCGUGGGUCAACUAAGUUGAGCAUUGACGCUUGAUGUGGAUCUGGGGCAGGGCCAGAUGCGGACGCUGGUCAAGUCACGGGUACGGAAAAGUCUACAAAUUGGUCUUGAGCGGGGGGCGGAUCCGGAAUCGGCGCAAUGGGCACUGGGAGGACACUGAUAUCCGCAUCUCAAAGUUGAGAAAGCCUAGCAUCCAAGCAUACAUUUCCAUUUCCAUCUUUCAUCUUUCAAGCUUUCUUGCUUACACAGUCCCAUCCAUGGCUGGCAUCAAGGCAUUUGUUGACAGCUGCAACGGGACGCUGGACAGCGUUCCAGACAGAUACAUGAUGCCGAAUGAAGCUGCCGAUGUCUCCCGGUACGCGG